CAUUGGACAAGAGAAGGAAUGAGAAACAAAGCUCACUUUCAUUUUUAAAGUGGAAUUAUUCACCAUCUGUGAACCAUCUCGCACAGGAAGUCUUUGACAAAUUCAAAUUUCUAAGAACCAUGAUUCUCAACAUUGGCUGCAUGAAGUGCCACCUAUGGACCUCUGUAAAGAAUAAAGAUGUCCAAGACCCACUGAAUGGGAAAGUUGCUAAGGGAAUGCAGGUUUGAAGGGCAAAGAGAAGGCUAUUUAGAGAAACUGGAGGAAUUCAGAAAACAAGAAUUUGAAGACAAGAAGACACUGAGUAAGAAAGAAGAGAAAAGACUCUUGGACAACUGUCUGGGUAUGUGUGCCAGGAAAGAAAGACAAGUGCAGAAAGAUUGCUGUUACUGAGAUAGAGUCCUGAGGCAUUACCAAGUCAGGUUUCAGAUAAUUGUG